CAAUAGCGUAUAUUAAAGUUGUUGCAGUUAAAGAGCUCGUAGUUGGAUUUCUGGUAGGAGUGACCGUUCCGAACUUGAUUGUUCGUGUAUUGUGUUUUCUCCAGCCAUCCUUGUGGAGAACUUUUCUUGCAUUAAUUUGUAGGGAUUGGGACCCGCAUCGUUUACUGUGAAAAAAUUAGAGUGUUUAAAGCAGGCAAUCGCUUGAAUACAUUAGCAUGGAAUAAUAAGAUAGGACUUUGGUACUAUUUUGUUGGUUUGCAUACCAAAUUAAUGAUCAACAGGAACAGUUUGAGGAUAUUCGUAUGAACAUGUCAGAGGUGAAAUUCUUGGAUUUUGAUCAGACGAACUACUGCGAAAGCAUUUAUCAAGGAUGUUUUCAUUAA
rnacentral:rRNA from 1 species